UCCCUCCGCAAAGCACUGCCGUUUUGUGCAGAUGAUCCUAAGACGUGCAGAGGAAUUAAACUGUGUUACAGACACCCGCUCGAGGCAUUAACAGCAUUACUCCAGACCUACACCAGUUGAGUCAAAGUGAGAAUCAGCCUCCUGUUUUCAGCCUACUCAAAGAGGAUGACCAGAGCACAUGCCACUGUUUUUCUACAUAUUUUGAUUAUCGCUCCUGUUUUGCACCCUGAGAGUUCCAGUGUGAUUUUCUACAUUGGUAAGUUACCGGGCUGAAGUGGUUCUUUACUGAGGGAAGAGAUAAAACAGUUUCUCUGCUUGGAUAGGGUAGUUCCUUAAACAUAAAUUGUCUUUAAAAGAAGGGAAAAGAGUACUUUGAAUUGAGUUCUGGGAGAUUUUAUUUCUGCUUCUGUUAUCUUACAGCUGACCUUAGGGGAAAAGGCUUCUCAGCUAUUUAGCCCCUCUCUGUAUAUGAGUUGGCUUCUUCGCCCAGAGGGACUUUCUAAUGCCCUUAUGUAUCACUCAAUCUCUGGCUAAAUAUGAGAAUUCAUCCUGGUCCUAAUAUGAUUUGCACUAUGAAGUCAUUAGCAUUAAUUAGAAUUAGGUUUAGGGAACCUUUACAGAUGCAGAAUGUGAAAAGAACUGCAGGUAGCUCUGAGCAUUACUUUAUUUCCACUUUACGAAACACCCCCUGCAAUAACUGUUAAUUUCUUCCUAUUUAUAUUUAAUUAUUUCCCCAUCCUCGCUCUGAGGUAAAGUAGCUACGCAUAAAACAACAGUUGCAAUUGCAAUGCCUUCUUAAGCUACGAUGUUAUGGAACUUUCAGACCAGAACAAAGAUUCCACCCCCUACAAGGGUAUUCUCAGAAACCCUCAGAUACUACCCAUUUCUAUACCUGUAAAUGGAGCCUUUGUAAUGAACAGAUUUUAUACAGUUCAGAGUUUAUAACUGUUACCAACCUGCUGUCAAAUCCAGUCUUACAAUGAUCCUUUGAGUCAUUGCUAUAACAGACCCCUUUGCUCUUACAGUCAACCCUUUGCUUCUCAUUCUCCCAGUGGGCUGAAAUGGCUGAUUUUUAACAUGUAACAAACAAGAAAGAAUUAAAAUCUCUCCUCCUGUUCCGAGAUCUCUCUCAAACACCAGCAAAAGAGAAUCAGAGACCUUACCAAUGAAAAAGUCCUGCUUAAUUCUCCCCUCAUCCAUUGCUGCACUCUUCUCAAUGAGGAUUUAUACCUAAAGGCUUAAAAAAGUCUCUUAAAUCAUUUUUGGGGUCAUACUGCUGUCUCUUGCUUACCUUCCUCCCCACCCCCCCUUUUUUUAAAAUGUGAACAACCAACCUACUUUGUAGCACAAAAUACUAAAUUUCUGCUCCUGUGUCCUUCAUGAUGCAAUAAACAAUCUGAGUUACAGAUAAGAGUAUGAGCAUCCUGCCUGUAUGAAGGUUCCCCUGACAACACACAAAAGAACUAAUGGGCUAAGGAAUAAGUUACUGCUGUGUUCUGAGAAACAAAGGAAAGCUAAGUGCAGCACCAUGCAAACGUGUGCACUGUGGUUAGUACACUGGAGUUGCAAGGAAGAUCUUUUGUACUUGUAUAAACCUACAAUGGUUCAUUUUGCAAAGAGAAUAAUUAUGUUUAAUGAUAAGGCGAUUAACCUCCUUAACAGUGACUGAGCAGACAACAUACAGGCAUCAGGGGAAGGAGGGAACAGGUGGGUGCAUGAAAAAGACUCAUUUAUUUUAACAGUGUAUUCUAAUGAUGAUUAUUUUUCAUGAUGUCAGUUUGCAAAGUCCAUGUAAUUCCUAGUAGAAAGUUUCUCCACAAAGCAAAUCUUUCAUUGUUCUUUGUUCGAAAAAUAAAAUAAGCACAUGCCAGAGACCCUGGCAUUUUUGACCAAAACCCCUGGAAGUUAUAUGCACAUGAUGCAGAAAGGGGAUUCAAAGAAAAAUAAACGGCGGAUAUUAGCGGUAGUUAUAAAGCAGCAAAACACAGCAAGUUAAAAACAAAGGGGAAAAAAAAAAAGCAACUUGAGCUUGCUUUACUUAAAGAGAGAGACAAAAACCCCUCAUUUAGAGCAACAAUUCAAAUCCUAGCAGGAAAAUUCAUCCCCACUGCUGAAACAAAUGGAGAAAGGUGAGA